rnacentral:rRNA from 1 species
AACCUGCCCCAUAGUCUGGGAUACCACUUGGAAACAGGUGCUAAUACCGGAUAAGAAAGCAGAUCGCAUGAUCAGCUUUUAAAAGGCGGCGUAAGCUGUCGCUAUGGGAUGGCCCCGCGGUGCAUUAGCUAGUUGGUAAGGUAAAGGCUUACCAAGGCAAUGAUGCAUAGCCGAGUUGAGAGACUGAUCGGCCACAAUGGAACUGAGACACGGUCCAUACUCCUACGGGAGGCAGCAGAC